GACGAACGCUGGCGGCGUGCUUAACACAUGCAAGUCGAACGGAAAGGCCCUGCUUUUGUGGGGUGCUCGAGUGGCGAACGGGUGAGUAACACGUGAGUAACCUGCCCUUGACUUUGGGAUAACUUCAGGAAACUGGGGCUAAUACCGGAUAGGGGCUCCUGCUGCAUGGUGGGGGUUGGAAAGUUUCGGCGGUUGGGGAUGGACUCGCGGCUUAUCAGCUUGUUGGUGGGGUAGUGGCUUACCAAGGCUUUGACGGGUAGCCGGCCUGAGAGGGUGACCGGCCACAUUGGGACUGAGAUACGGCCCAGACUCCUACGGGAGGCAGCAGUGGGGAAUAUUGCACAAUGGGCGGAAGCCUGAUGCAGCAACGCCGCGUGCGGGAUGACGGCCUUCGGGUUGUAAACCGCUUUCGCCUGUGACGAAGCGUGAGUGACGGGAAUGGGUAAAGAAGCACCGGCGAACUACGU
rnacentral:rRNA from 1 species